rnacentral:rRNA from 1 species
UACAGAGGUCUCGAGCGUUAGGCGGAAUCACUGGGCUUAAAGCGUGUGUAGGUGGAUCGUUAAGUACCUUGUGAAAUCCCACGGCUUAACCGUGGAACUGCUUGGUAUACUGGCGGUCUUGAGCCAGCUAGGGGCUACCGGAACAAAUGGUGGAGCGGUGAAAUGCGUAGAUAUCAGAAGGAACAUCAGUGGCGAAAGCGGCUUCCUGGACCAGAACUGACGAUCAGGCUCGAAAGCGUGGGGAGCAAACAGG